rnacentral:rRNA from 1 species
CAGUAGCCGCGGUAAUACGUAGGGUGCGAGCGUUAAUCGGAAUUACUGGGCGUAAAGCGUGCGCAGGCGGUUGUGUAAGACAGGUGUGAAAUCCCCGGGCUUAACCUGGGAACUGCGCUUGUGACUGCACAGCUAGAGUAUGGCAGAGGGGGGUGGAAUUCCACGUGUAGCAGUGAAACGCGUAGAGAUGUGGAGGAACACCGAUGGCGAAGGCAGCCCCCUGGGCCAAUACUGACGCUCAUGCACGAAAGCGUGGGGAGCAAACAGGAUUAGAUACCCCUGUAGUCCCUGUCUCUUAUAC